rnacentral:rRNA from 1 species
AUGGCGCGAGCACCCGGUGGCGCCGCCCGCCGGAGGGGCGGCAGGAGGGACGGCAGCGGCGAGGCGGUGCGGAAGGGGCCGUGGAUGGCGGAGGAGGACGCGGUGCUGCUGGAGCACGUGCGCACGCACGGCCCGCGCGACUGGAGCUCCAUUCGAUCCAAAGGCGCCCUGCAGCGCACCGGCAAGUCCUGCCGCCUCCGCUGGGUCAACAAGCUCCGGCCCAACCUCAAGACUGGCUGCAAGUUCUCUGCGGACGAGGAGCGUGUGGUGAUCGAGCUGCAGGCGCAGUUCGGGAACAAGUGGGCGAGGAUCGCCACCUACCUGCCGGGCCGGACGGACAACGACGUCAAGAACUUCUGGAGCACCCGCCAGAAGCGGCUCGCCAGGCUGCUGCGCGCGCCUCUCCGCGCCCGGCCCAGCAAGACCAGGAGCAGCAACACCAAAGCGCCCGGAUCCUCUGUCGAGUCCGCCAUGGGUUCUUGCCAGGAUCAUGUUCCGUCCGUGGGCAACUCUUCCGGAGGCCAAAGCUUCGCGGCUGCACCGCCCAUGGAGUACCAGGACACAGCGCGAAUCUCGCAUGAUCAGAUGUGCCCUGGAUUCCUCAGUUUCGAGCCAUUGCCGCUGCAGGCAGCAGCACCGGCCACUGAAGGCGAAGCGAGCUCGUCGAACGCAGCUUAUUAUCAGCUAGCCCCAGAAUCGUCGUUUUAUCAUCAUCCCUACCAUCUGCUGGAAUUCCCGGGCUUGCCGGAGAGAUGCAGCGUCGAUCCCGGGUUCGUCGGAGCGAGCGCCAUGGAUGAUCUCGCGUACCAGGAGCUGCUUCCACCUCCGCAUCCUGCGCCGAUGAUGAUGCCGUUCUUCGGCAUGGAGUAUGCGCGUGAUGCCAUCAAGGUCGAGACUCGGGACAACUUCUUCGACGACCUGCCCCCGGACGUGUUUGACUCUUUUGAUCAGGUGCCGCCGCCGUUCUCGCCGUCAGCGACCAACUCUGAACUCUAA